CUGAAUAACACUAAAGAUUUAUCGCUAAGGGAUGGGGAUGCGUCCGAUUAGGUAGUCGGCGGGGUAACGGCCCACCGAGCCCUCGAUCGGUAGGGGUUCUGAGAGGAAGGUCCCCCACACUGGUACUGAGACACGGACCAGACUCCUACGGGAGGCAGCAGUGAGGAAUAUUGGUCAAUGGGCGUAAGCCUGAACCAGCCAAGUAGCGUGCAGGAUGACGGCCCUAUGGGUUGUAAACUGCUUUUAUACGGGGAUAAAGUGAGGGACGUGUCCCUUAUUGUAGGUACCGUAUGAAUAAGGACCGGCUAAUUCCGUGCCAGCAGCCGCGGUAAUACGGAAGGUCCGGGCGUUAUCCGGAUUUAUUGGGUUUAAAGGGAGCGCAGGCCGGAGGUCAAGCGUGACGUGAAAUGUAGCCGCUCAACGGCUGAGUUGCGUCGCGAACUGGCUUUCUUGAGUGAGUACGACGUCAGCGGAAUUCGUGGUGUAGCGGUGAAAUGCUUAGAUAUCACGAAGAACCCCGAUUGCGAAGGCAGCUGACGAGUCCUUUACUGACGCUAAAGCUCGAAGGUGCGGGUAUCGA
rnacentral:rRNA from 1 species